GACGAACGCUGGCGGCGUGCUUAACACAUGCAAGUCGAACGAAGAGCGAUGGAAGCUUGCUUCUAUCACUCUUAGUGGCGCACGGGUGAGUAACGCGUAAUCAACCUGCCCUUCAGAGGGGGACAACAGUUGGAAACGACUACUAAUACCGCAUACGAUCUGACCUCGGCAUCGAGGAGAGAUGAAAGGUGGCCUCUACAGGUAAGCUAGCACUGCAGGAGGGGGUUGCGUCUGAUUGGUUAGUUGGAGGGGUAACGGCCCACCAAGGCGAUGAUCAGUAGCCGGUAGGAGAGGAUGAACGGCCACAUUGGGACGGAGACACGGCCCAGACGGCUACGGGAGGCAGCAGUGGGGAAUCUUCCGCAAUGGACGAAAGACUGACGGAGAAACGCCGCGGGCGGGAUGACGGCCUUCGGGUUGUAAAGGUCGGUUAAUCGGGACGAAAGGCCUUUUUGCGAAUAGGGAGAAGGAUUGACGGUACCGGAAUAGAAAGCCACGGCUAACUACGUG
rnacentral:rRNA from 1 species